AUCCAGACUCCUACGGGAGGCAGCAGUGGGGAAUAUUGCACAAUGGGGGAAACCCUGAUGCAGCGACGCCGCGUGAGCGAUGAAGUAUUUCGGUAUGUAAAGCUCUAUCAGCAGGGAAGAAGAUGACGGUACCUGACUAAGAAGCCCCGGCUAACUACGUGCCAGCAGCCGCGGUAAUACGUAGGGGGCAAGCGUUAUCCGGAUUUACUGGGUGUAAAGGGAGCGUAGACGGCGAUGCAAGCCAGAUGUGAAAGCCCGGGGCUCAACCCCGGGACUGCAUUUGGAACUGUGUGGCUGGAGUGUCGGAGAGGCAGGCGGAAUUCCUAGUGUAGCGGUGAAAUGCGUAGAUAUUAGGAGGAACACCAGUGGCGAAGGCGGCCUGCUGGACGAUGACUGACGUUGAGGCUCGAAAGCGUGGGGAGCAAACAGGAUUAGAUACCCUCGUAU
rnacentral:rRNA from 1 species